rnacentral:rRNA from 1 species
UGGGGAAUAUUGCACAAUGGGGGAAACCCUGAUGCAGCAACGCCGCGUGAGUGAUGAAGGCCUUCGGGUUGUAAAGCUCUGUCUUCAGGGACGAUAAUGACGGUACCUGAGGAGGAAGCCACGGCUAACUACGUGCCAGCAGCCGCGGUAAUACGUAGGUGGCAAGCGUUGUCCGGAUUUACUGGGCGUAAAGGGAGUGUAGGCGGAUACUUAAGUCAGAUGUGAAAUACCCGGGCUCAACUUGGGUGCUGCAUUUGAAACUGGGUAUCUAGAGUGCAGGAGAGGAAAGUGGAAUUCCUAGUGUAGCGGUGAAAUGCGUAGAGAUUAGGAAGAACACCAGUGGCGAAGGCGACUUUCUGGACUGUAACUGACGCUGAGGCUCGAAAGCGUGGGGAGCAAACAG